AGCAAGCAGAGAUACAGCCCUGGAGACACAGUGAGCCAGAGCAUUACUCAGAAAUGGAGACAGCUGCAGCUGAAGACUUGGCUGGAAAGUAGCAAGACUUACUGGUGACAGGGGCUGGAGUUGGUGCCUCACAAUCAACUACUAAGAGUGUUGUGGAGAGAAGACCUAAAGAAAGAUUAUAAGAGUUCCCUGCAGCAGAGAGCACAUACUCCUUGUCACCAAAAAGCAGAUGCUGCAUGAACAGAGGCUAGAGAAGCCAUCUGUGUACCUUGCUGUGAUGCUUCUGCCUUCAGGCUAGAAGAACCACUUCUAGGAGUGAGAAGAUUUAGUCACCUUGCCCUAUUGUGUCCUUCCCCACCUGAUGCAGCAGCUAAAGAGGAUGCUAAUUUUGCACAAGCCUUGAAUUUCAUCAUCUGACCUUUUAUUUAGCAAGGGCAGGACAGCCCAUCACGCCCACAGCCAAACAAGCCUCAGGAAGAGAGGCUGACAUCAGACAGCAAGAUAAAACCCCUGACUGCAGCCCUAGCCUUCAAAGCUAUUUGGCCCCUUUGCCCUUUAAUAAAUCUUUAACCCAAA